rnacentral:rRNA from 1 species
UACGUAGGGUGCAAGCGUUGUCCGGAAUUAUUGGGCGUAAAGAGCUCGUAGGCGGUUUGUCGCGUCGAAUGUGAAAACCCGGGGCUCAACCCCGGGCCUGCAUUCGAUACGGGCAGACUAGAGUUCGGUAGGGGAGUCUGGAAUUCCUGGUGUAGCGGUGAAAUGCGCAGAUAUCAGGAGGAACACCUGUGGUGUAGACGGCUCUCUGGACCGCAACUGACGCUGAGACACGAAAGCGUGGGUAGCAAACGGG